rnacentral:lncRNA from 1 species
UUUCGCAUAAUUAUAAUAUCGAACUAAUUAGACUUGAGCAAGCUGUUCUUGUUUGCUAGAGCUACAUUUUUCAAGUGAUUAAGGCUGACACUUAACAUUCAGCACUAUUUAGUUUCGUCCUGGUGUUCUGGGUGAAUAUUGAUGUUUUUGUGUUUUAGUUUAUGCUAUGCAAGUGUUUCUGCUUCUUAAUUGACUCAAUAAUUUUGAGCCUGUUGGCAACAAUUGUGGUACCAUCAUUAUUAUUCUUUUAUUUUGGUGAGUUUUGCUGUUGUAUAUGCUGGUAGCAUGUUAGAAUUUGUAUCUGAGUAUGGGAGCAACUUAAUGAGGAUGUCAAUGCAGAUCAUUUGUUCUGGAAUUCUGCUUUUGAUGUAAUGAGGUUUGGUUGUUCUCCUGCAUAAUUAUGUGUAUCUUGAGACCUGCUUCGGUAAUAUGCUCUGUAGGAAACAGAGAGCACCAACUAGGAUUGUGUUAACAAACUGACACAGUCAGGUUGAGGUAUUCUGGAACAUUUAAAGUCGAGAGCAUCAAAGUGUGACUUUAAAUUUUGCUAUUAUCUCCUUAACAAAUCAUUGAGUUUCUCUCGGAUACAAAUCAGGUGCUGUUUUUUGGAUCUAGCAGUUCAAACCUCCAAAGUAAAUGCAGUGUACUGUCUUCAAGUCAACGACUGAUCUUAUACCAGCUAUCCUUUUCAUCUUGACCCAUAUUUCUUGAGUUAAGAGCUCACGGUUCUUUGCUUAUCACCAGUUCCUUUUAUGGUUAUUCCCUAAUUCGUCCCCUGUUUGCAUUGUCACUGGUGGAAUAGCGAUUACAGUAUUAGUCUGUUGUU